rnacentral:rRNA from 1 species
UACGUAGGGGGCUAGCGUUGUCCGGAAUCAUUGGGCGUAAAGAGCUCGUAGGCGGUUUGUCGCGUCUGCCGUGAAAGUCCGGGGCUCAACUCCGGAUCUGCGGUGGGUACGGGCAGGCUAGAGUCAGGUAGGGGAGAACGGAAUUCCUGGUGUAGCGGUGAAAUGCGCAGAUAUCAGGAGGAACACCGGUGGCGAAGGCGGUUCUCUGGGCCUGUACUGACGCUGAGGAACGAAAGCGUGGGGAGCGAACAGG